rnacentral:rRNA from 1 species
GGACCCGACUGCUAUCGGGGUAGGGCUAAGCCAUGGAAGUCGAACGCCCCGCCGCUGCGGGGCGUGGCGCACGGCUGAGUAACACGUGGCUAACCUACCCUCGGGAGGGGGAUAACCUCUCGGGAAACUGGGGCUAAUCCCCCAUAGGCGGGGAGGCCUGGAAAGGUUCCCCGCCAAAAGGGGGCGCGGGGGGCCAUCGCCUGCGCUCCGCCCGAGGAUGGGGCUGCGGCCUAUCAGGUAGUUGGCGGGGCAACGGCCCGCCAAGCCGAAGACGGGUAGGGGCCGUGAGAGCGGGAGCCCCCAGAUGGGCACUGAGACAAGGGCCCAGGCCCUACGGGGCGCACCAGGCGCGAAAACUCCGCAAUGCGGGAAACCGUGACGGGGCUACCCCGAGUGCCCCCCUUAUGGGGGCUUUUCCCCGCUGUAAGAAGGCGGGGGAAUAAGCGGGGGGCAAGUCUGGUGUCAGCCGCCGCGGUAAUACCAGCCCCGCGAGACCGGGGCCCUAAACAAGCCCCGGCGCGACUGGUCGGGGUGAUUAUUGGGCCUAAAGCGGCCGUAGCCGGCCCGGUAAGUCCCCCCUGAAAGUCUCGGGCUCAACCCGAGAAGCGGGGGGAUACUGCCGGGCUAGGGGGCGGGAGAGGCCGAGGUACUCCCGGGGGUAGGGGCGAA